GCCGCGGUUCCGCCGCCAGGCGCAGGGUCGGGGCCUUCUCCAGGAGGGCCGUCAUCGAGGCGGCCAGUUCGAUGCGGGCCAGCGGUGC
rnacentral:tRNA from 1 species